rnacentral:rRNA from 1 species
UACAGAGGUCUCAAGCGUUGUUCGGAUUCAUUGGGCGUAAAGGGUGCGUAGGCGGCUUGUCACGUCGGGUGUGAAAGCCCGGGGCUUAACCCCGGGUCUGCAUUCGAUACGGGCUAGCUAGAGUGUGGUAGGGGGAGAUCGAAUUCCUGGUGUAGCGGUGAAUGCGCAGAUAUCAGGAGGAACACCGGUGGCGAAGGCGGAUCUCUGGGCCAUUACUGACGCUGAGGAGCGAAAAGCGUGGGGGAGCGAACAGG